CGCGUCCCGGGGGUCACGUGGUGCGCAGCACGCAGAGUCCUUCUGUCGGUUGGUCCUGGAGCGGCGCAGCCGGAGCGGGGCUGUGAGGAGAAUAAAGGCAGCCCCGCUGAUGACUGAAAAUGACAAAGCAUCCACCUAACAGAAGAGGAAUCAGCUUUGAAGUGGGAGCCCAGUUGGAAGCCCGGGACCGAUUAAAAAACUGGUACUUUUACAUUUUUCUGUUAAUUAAAUUCCUUCAGUAAAGGAUUUUUGCUAGCACUGAUAAAGAGGGCUUUUCUUAAGUGUUCUGUAGUUUUUUCCUGCUCCCUGACUCUUGGAAGGUGGAAGGAGACUUAAGCCUAGAGCCGGGGGAAUGUCCUUUCUCUUUGGUGCUGGGAUCCAUCUGUCAUGGAGAGCAUCCAGUGACUAUUUGUUAAUACUUGUUUCCCCUUUCUGUGUGUUUGUGUGAAGGAGUUACGGGAAAAAGAAGCAUAGAUGGCUAUAAGGAAGGGACGAAUUAAUAGUGGCAGCUCUCUUGAUCUUGGGUACCUGUCUGGAAGAAGAGAGGAGAGAAAAAUCAGGGAUGGAAGAAUGAAGGAAAGGGAUUAGAUUGGAAUAACUUGUGUGUUGUGAACACCCCAUCCUGUUUUCAGAGUAUGUGGUAUGGUUGAAAUUUAACAUCACUCUGAAGAGGUGAUUAAAUUUAGAGACUGAGGGCUUGUAAUCCUGACUUGUCAUUGGUUUAUGACCUCUGACUUGUAAUUAGCCUCUUUGAGCAUCAGCUUUAUCUAUAAAUGUGUGGGUACUAGUAGUAUCAACCUCCAAGUUUUUUUGAGAAUCACGUAGUAGAAUGUGGGGAAAGACCUUCCUUAUCAACUAUAAAAUGACGGUUGUUGAGGACAUCCUAGAAUCUGGCCAUUUGUUAAUGCUUAAUGGAAAGGUGGGGGUUUCAGAACUCAAACCUUUCUUAGUUGUUGUUGUUGUUGUUGUUGUUGUUUUAAAGUUUAUUUAUUUAUAAUCUGCACCCAAAAUGGGACUCAAACUCAUGACCCCGAGAUCAAGAGUCACAUGCUCCACCAGCUGAACCAGUCACAUGCUCCCCUUUCUGAGUUUUUAUAAGGAAGAGUGUAGCUUUUUUGGGGAGUUUUCUGAAAAUAAGCUGACCAGUUCCUGGGGUGUAGGUAGAGAAGACAGGGGAAAGAGAAGCGAGGAAGUGGCUGGGGCAGAAAUGUCUCUGCUGCUUUUUGGGGCUGGAAGAAUUGGUAUAUGAAUUACAAACACUUUGAACACCUAGUUGUUGUAAGCUGUUUGUAUCAUCUAUAAUUAUUUCCCUUUUUGGUUUCUCUUAACACUUUUUAAGGCAGCUUAAUCAAGGGAGGGAAUUCUUUUUAAAUGUGGAAAAAAAGUAAAAUAUAGAAAAAGUAAAAAGUACAUCUAGCUGUAAAAUAAUCUGUGUACUUGUCACUCAGAAUAAAUAUCAAUAAAAUACACUAAUAUAUAAAAUUUAAUAAUAAAAUUUAACAAAUUAGUAAAUAUCACUCAGAAUAAAUAAAACAUUUUUAUUAUAUUUAUGUUUUAAAAGAUAAAAGACAUAAAACAUUUCUUAUAUAAUAGAAGUAUAUUUUAUACCCUUACCAGUUCAGUUCCCCUUCUGUAUUCCAUGGAGGCAACCAGCAUCCCAGACUUAUCCUUAUCCCAGUUGUAUCCUUUCUGUCCACGUUUUUACAUUUUUACUAUGUAUAUGUAUGCAUAAAUAAUAGAAAUAUUUUAGGUAUUAAAAAUUAAUAUAAGUAGUAGUAUAUUAUUUGUUUCUUUAUGAUUUUGUGAUUUAGCUAUACUGAUACAUAAGAUACUUAUCCUAUAUUUAUUUAUAUUUAAUUUUUUUGUACUUUAUUAAAACAUUUUUUUUAACUUUUUUUUAAAUGUUUUUAUUUAUUUUUGAGACAGAGAGAGGCAGAGCAUGAGCAGGGGAGGGGCAGAGAGAGAGAGGGAGACACAGAAUCUGAAGUAGGCUCCCGGCUCUGUGCUGUCAGCACAGAGCCUGACGCGGGGCUCGAACUCACAGACUAUGAGAUCAUGACCUGAGCCGAAGCCGGCUGCUUAACCGACUGAGCCACCCAGGCGCCCCUAAAACAUUUUUUUUAAUGUUUACUUUUGAGAGAGAGACUGAGUGUGAGCGGGGGAGGGGCAGAGAGAGAGGGAGACACAGAAUCUGAAGCAGACCAGGCUCUGAGCUGUUAGCACAGAGCCUGAUGUGGGACUCAAACUCACGAACUGGGAGACCAUGACCUGAGCUGAAGUUGGACGCUUAACCAACUGAGCCACCCAGGCACCCCUCAUUUUAUUUUAUUUUAUUUUAUUUUUAUUUAUUUCAAGUAAGCUCUAGGCCCAUCAUGGGGCUUGAACUCAUGACCCUGAGAUCAAGAGUCUCACACUCUUCUGACUGAGCCAGCCAGGCACCUCAGCAGCACUGUGUUUAAAGUGAAAAACUGGAUGCCUCCCUGGCUCAGUCGGUACAGCAUGCAGUUCUUGACCUUGGGGCCAUGAGUUUGAGCCCUACAUUGGGUGUAGAGAUUACUAAAAAGAAUAAAAAAAAAAUAAACACAGUGCUACUGUGAACAUCUCUGUAAAUGCCUUUUUGUGUCCAUUUGCAAGAAUAUUUAUUGGGCAGUGACUUUUCAAACUUGUUUUAUGGCAAUUUAUAGUAAGAAAUAUAUUUUAAAUCCAGGGUAGUAACCAUCCGUAUACACACAUAAAUUUCAGGGAAGCAAAAUUCUUUAGUAACCUUUCUUAACCUUAGUACAUGCAUUAUACUUUGAUGUUUUUCUUCUAUGUUGUGUGUUUCCUGACCAUAUGCACAAAUGCUGGUCUAGAAUCAUUAAUUUCAUUUUAUAAUCGAAUGGGUCAUGAACUACUGUUUGAUAAGUCCUACUCCAGUGAAUUCGUUGAGUAAUAUACACAUUUUCAGUUUUAUUGGAACUUGCAAAAUUUAUCUCCAAAAUGCUUCUACUAAAUUGCUCCCACCAGUAGUACAUAAAACUUCUUGUUUUUCUACAUCCUUAUCAAUUUUUGCCUUUGACAGACUUUCUGGUUUGUCAGUCUGUUGGUUAUAAAACUUUUAUUCUUUGUUCCCUGUACUUCUGGUGAAGUUGAGCAUUUUCUAAUAUCUGUGUUUUGUGGCUUGCUCUUGACUAUUUUUCUAUUGGAUUGUUUGUCUUUUCUUAGUGAUUUAUCAGUAUUUUACUAAUAUGUUAUCGAUUCCAAUUCUUUGUUAGUUUGUAUUGCAGAAAUCUUCUAGUCUGUAGCUUGUCUUUUCAGCUUACUUCUGAUAUCUUUCAUGGGAUGUAAUAUUCUCUGAAAUUCUUCUAAAAGUUUUAAAGGUUUGCUUUUUACAUUUUGAUCUUUAUCUACCUAGAAUUAAUUUUAUGUAUGUGAUGAACUUGGUCUAAUACUCGUUUUUAUUCACCAUAUAAAUAAUCAGUUGCCCCAGCAUCUUUUAUAGGAUAGUCUGUCCUUUCCCCACUGAUCUGCAAUACUACUUCUAUAUAUCAAAUCCCAUAACAUGGGUCUCUUCUUAGCUCUUUAUUUUAUUAAUUUAUAUUUACUCUGGUGCUACUAGCAACACAUAAUCCAAUAGAUAUUGCUUUAAAAUAAAUCUUUUAAAAUUAAUUGUGAGAGAGAGAGCGAGUGAGCGAGCACGAAUGGGGAAGGGGCAGAGAGAGAGGGGGAAAGAGAGAAUUGGUCCAACCAAGCUCCACAUUGACAGUGUAGAGCCCGAUGCAGGGCUCAAACCUAUGAACCGAACUGUGAGAUUAUGUCCUGAGCCAAAAUCAAGAGUUGGAUGUUCAACCGACUGAGCCACCCAGGGGCCCCUAAAGUAAGUCUUGAUAUCUGUUAAGACAGGUUUUGCCUUUUUGUGCUUUAUUUUCUUUGUUGUAUUCUUAGACCUUUACUCUUAUUUUUUAAACAGUUGAAGUAUAAUUGACAGUCAGUGUUACAUUAGUUUCAGGUGUAGACAUUUGCUUUUAACAUGAAUAGCUGUAUUUGUGUAGUUUCUUAAAAACUGUUGUAGUUUCACAAUAAAUUGCAUUGGAUUUAUAAUUAAUUUGGGGGAAUUAACAUCUUUAUGAUAGAGUUUUUACUUAUGAAAAUAUUAUUUUUUUGUAUUUAUUCACAUUUUCUUUUAUGAACUUGUUUUAUAACCUCCAUUUUGCAUAUUAUCUGUUAGACUUAUUCCUAAGUACCUUCUAGUUUUUGUUGGUUCUGUGAAUGGAUCUUUUUAUAUUAUAUCUUUUCUUUGGUUAUUGGUGGUGUGUAGUAAUGCUGUUGAGUUUUUAUUGUUGUUGACCAAAUUCAGUGUGUGGACUUUACUGAGAUAGCUCAAAAACAAUUGCUAAAAAAAAGAUUUAUGACAUUUAUGAUAUUGUUGGAUAUUUGAACAUUGAUUAAUGAUAUUAAAGGAUCAUUGUUAACUUUUGUAGGUAUGGAAAUGAUAUAGCUAUGUUUUUAAAAAGUCCUCAUUUUUUAGAGAUUAUAUACUGGCAUAUUAAUGACUACAAUGAGGUGUUGUCUGGGACUUGCUUCAAAGGAAAUAGGAAAUGAGGAAAAGAUGGAGAAUGGGGAAAGCAAAAGUGGCAGUGAGUGAUGGGUAUGUGAGGGUUUAUUGCUGUUGAGUUUUAUAUACUAAUCUUGUAUCUAGAAACCUUGCUGCAUUUUCGUAUUUGUCCUACUAGUUCUUUUAAAUUUUAUUAUUAUUUAAAAAAUAUUUAUUUUGAGAGAGAGAAAGAGAGAGACAUUCCCAAGCAGGUUCUGCGCUGUCAGUGCUGAGUCUGACAUGGGGCUCAAUCUCAGGUACCUGAGAGG